rnacentral:rRNA from 1 species
CGGCCGCGUCGACGGGGAGCGAAUGGGAUUAGAUACCCCAGUAGUCCUAGCCGUAAACGAUGGAUACUAGGUGUUGUCUGUAUCGACCCGGACAGUGCCGUAGCUAACGCGUUAAGUAUCCCGCCGUGGGGAGUACGCACGCAAGUGUGAAACUCAAAGGAAUUGACGGGGGCCCGCACAAGCGGUGGAGCAUGUGGUUUAAUUCGAAGCAACGCGAAGAACCUUACCAGGCCUUGACAUGCAGAGAACUUUCCAGAGAUGGAUUGGUGCCUUCGGGAACUCUGACACAGG